UUUUGCCACCGGGAGAUUUCAACAGUGCGUCGGGAAUGAAGAAGCGAUUGCACUGUCGCAGCCUUCGAUCAGCCGGAUCAUUACAGCCGUCGCCAAGGCCAUUACGGUUGUGGGCAAAGAAAAAGGAUGGGUUAGAUUCCCAUCCACGGCGCAACAGAAAGCCGCCGUCAAGGAAGGCUUUCUUAGCCGUGGAAAAAUUCCAGGAGUUCUAGGAUGUGUGGACGGGAGUCUGAUAGCCAUCGUUCGCCCUAAGAAGCUCGGCCCCGGCGAAACGGAAUCGUACUGGAGCCGUAAAGGGUAUUACGCCCUCAACUGCAUGGUCGUGUGUGAUGCAAAGCUGAAUAUCCUGGCAAUUGACCCACGGUUUCCGGGAUAGUGCCACGAUUAUUUCGUUUGGAGGCAUUCUGCAUUUCGCCGCCGCCUCACUCGUGGCCUGUUACUUCAUGGAGAAGUCUUGCUUGGGGACUCUGGGUACCCGCUAGAGCCAUGGAUCAUGACUCCUGUGCCUGGUCACCCAAAUCGCCUCACGGCAGAGGGGCGCUAUAAUGAGG